rnacentral:rRNA from 1 species
GAUGAACGCUAGCGGCAGGCUUAAUACAUGCAAGUCGAGGGGCAGCAGCUUUAUAGCAAUAUAGAGGCUGGCGACCGGCAAACGGGUGCGGAACACGUACACAACCUUCCUUUAAGAGGGGGAUAGCCCAUAGAAAUGUGGAUUAAUACCCCGUAACAUAUCGGUGUGGCAUCACACUGUUAUUAUAGUUUCGACGCUUGAAGAUGGGUGUGCGGCUGAUUAGGUAGUUGGCGGGGUAAAGGCCCACCAAGCCUUCGAUCAGUAGCUGAUGUGAGAGCACGAUAAGCCACAAGGGAGCUGAGACCCGGGCCCGAAUCCUACGAGAGGCAGCAGUAAGGAAUAUUGGUCAAUGGACGCAAGUCUGAACCAGCCAUGCCGCGUGAAGGAUGAAGGUCCUCUGGAUUGUAAACUUCUUUUAUAGGGGGCGAAAAAAGGGAAUUCUUUCUCACUUGACAGUACCCUAUGAAUAAGCACCGGCUAACUCCGUGCCAGCAGCCGCAGUAA